UACGUAGGGUACAAGCAUUAAUCGGAAUUAUUGGGCGUAAAGGGCGCGUAGGCGGAUAUAUAAGUCAGGUGUGAAAUACCAAAGCUCAACUUUGGAGCUGCAUUUGAAACUAUAAAUCUAGAGGAUUGACGGAGAAAGCGGAAUUCCACGUGUAGCGGUGAAAUGCGUAGAUACGUGGAGGAACACCAGUGGCGAAAGCGGCUUUCUGGUUUUUAUCUGACGCUGAGGCGCGAGAGCGAGGGGAGCAAACAGG
rnacentral:rRNA from 1 species